AUUGAACGCUGGCGGCAUGCUUUACACAUGCAAGUCGAACGGUAACAGGGAGCUUGCUCCGCUGACGAGUGGCGAACGGGUGAGUAAUGCAUCGGAACGUACCCAGUCGUGGGGGAUAACGUAGCGAAAGUUACGCUAAUACCGCAUACGUCCUGAGGGAGAAAGCGGGGGACCGUAAGGCCUCGCGCGAUUGGAGCGGCCGAUGUCGGAUUAGCUAGUUGGUGGGGUAAAGGCCUACCAAGGCGACGAUCCGUAGCGGGUCUGAGAGGAUGAUCCGCCACACUGGGACUGAGACACGGCCCAGACUCCUACGGGAGGCAGCAGUGGGGAAUUUUGGACAAUGGGCGAAAGCCUGAUCCAGCCAUGCCGCGUGAGUGAAGAAGGCCUCGGUUGUAAG
rnacentral:rRNA from 1 species